GACGAACGCUGGCGGCGUGCUUAACACAUGCAAGUCGAACGAAGUGGCGAACGGGGGAGUAACGCGUAAUCAACCUGCCCUUCAGAGGGGGACAACAGUUGGAAACGACUGCUAAUACCGCAUACGGAAGGAGGGGAGUGCGUCUGAUUAGCGAGUUGGAGGGGUAACGGCCCGCAAAGGAGAUGCUCAGUAGCCGGUCGUGGAGGAUGCACGGCGACAUUGGGACUUAGACACGGCCCAGACUCCUACGGGAGGCAGCAGUGGGGAAUCUUCCGCAAUGGACGAAAGUCUGACGGAGCAACGCCGCGUGAGUGAUGACGGCCUUCGGGUGGUAAAGCUCUGUUAAUCGGGACGCGGUACCGGAAUAGAAAGCCACGGCUAACUACGUGCCAGCAGCCGCGGUAAUUC
rnacentral:rRNA from 1 species